GAUGAACGCUGGCGGCGUGCCUAAUACAUGCAAGUCGAGCGAACAGAUAAGGAGCUUGCUCCUUUGACGUUAGCGGCGGACGGGUGAGUAACACGUGGAUAACCUACCUAUAAGACUGGGAUAACUUCGAGAAACCGGAGCUAAUACCGGAUAACAUAUUGAACCGCAUGGUUCAAUAGUGAAAGGCGGCUUUGCUGUCACUUAUAGAUGGAUCCGCGCCGUAUUAGCUAGUUGGUAAGGUAACGGCUUACCAAGGCAACGAUACGUAGCCGACCUGGGAGGGUGAUCGGCCACACUGGAACUGAGACACGGUCCAGACUCCUACGGGAGGCAGCAGUAGGGAAUCUUCCGCAAAGGGCGAAAGCCUGACGGAGCAACGCCGCGUGAGUGAUGAAGGUCUUCGGAUCGUAAAACUCUGUUAUCAGGGAAGAACAAAUGUGUAAGUAACUGUGCACAUCUUGACGGUACCUGAUCAGAAAGCCACGGCUAACUACGUG
rnacentral:rRNA from 1 species